rnacentral:rRNA from 1 species
GAUGAACGCUGGCGGCAUGCCUAACACAUGCAAGUUGAACGAGAAGUUCUGGAACAAGUCUUCGGACAAGGGAAGGGACGGGAAGUAGCGAACGGGUGAGUAACGCGUGGGCAACCAACCUUACACAGGGGGAUAACGCAGAGAAAUUUGCGCUAAUACCGCAUAAGCGCACAGGAUCACAUGAUCCGGUGUGAAAAACUCCGGUGGUGUAAGACGGGCCCGCGUCUGAUUAGCUAGUUGGUGAGGUAAAGGCUCACCAAGGCGACGAUCAGUAGCCGACCUGAGAGGGUGAUCGGCCACAUUGGGACUGAGACACGGCCCAAACUCCUACGGGAGGCAGCAGUGGGGGAUAUUGCACAAUGGAGGGAACUCUGAUGCAGCAAUGCCGCGUGAAGGAAGAAGGUUUUCGGAUUGUAAACUUCUAUCAGCAGGGAAGAAAAUGACGGUACCUGACUAAGAAGCCCCGGCUAACUAUGUGCCAGCAGCCGCGGUAAUACAUAGGGGGCAAGCGUUAUCCGGAAUGACUGGGUGUAAAGGGUGCGUAGGCGGUAAGGUAAGUCUGAUGUGAAAGACUGGGGCUCAACUCCAGGGGUGCAUUGGAAACUAUGUUACUAGAGUACAGGAGAGGGAAGCGGAAUUCCUAGUGUAGCGGUGAAAUGCGUAGAUAUUAGGAGGAACACCGGUGGCGAAGGCGGCUUUCUGGACUGAAACUGACGCUGAGGCACGAAAGCGUGGGGAGCAAACAGG